GGCUCAACCAACUGAGCCACCCAGGCGCCCCUUGAGCAAAAUCUCUUGGAUUGCUCACACGGGAAAACCAGCUGCCAUGUGGUGAGGAUACUCAAAAGGGAGACCCAGAGAGAAAGCAACUGAGAUGAGGAAAUGAAGGUAAAGAUUGAGGACCAUGCCUGGAAUCACACAGAACGUAAGAAGUGGAGCUGGGAUUUGAACCGACAACCAAGGGAGCACAAGGAUGGAGUCCCCCUCAGCCUGGAUAUUGGAUCGAAGGACCUUUAUCAGAAAGGCCAAAGAAGGUUGGAAAAAUGGCCCAGACUGCAAAGCUACUUUCUGGGAGUGAGAAGUCAGAACUGGUUCCUUUGAGAGGAGACAGUGACUGGAAAGAAGCCCACGGGGUCUUCUGGAGGAUUCAUAAUGUUCUGCUUCUUGAUCUGGGUGGUUACAUGAAUAUGCUCAAGUCUGGAAAAG